rnacentral:rRNA from 1 species
GUAAGAUGAAGCUGCGAACGGCUCAUUACAACAGUUAUAACUUUUUGAUGAAAUACGUACAAGGAUAUCUUUGAGAAUGUCAAAGCUAAUACUUGACGGGUAACGCCUUCAGUCGAGUGUAUUCCUCCGGGAGUAUAAUCUACUGAGGAGGGGAGGACCCCCAAGGUCCUUUCAAUAUAUUACCACUUCUUUGUGAAUAAGGGUGGAUUAUAUGCCAAGAGAAUUGUAGAAAUCGAGAGAUUUUCACAAGUCAUCAUAAGAAUAUCUGACCUAUCAACUGGUUGUUGGUAAGGUAGUGGCUUACCAAGGUGAUAACGGGUAACGAGGAAUAAGGGUUCGACAUCGGAGAGGGAG